rnacentral:rRNA from 1 species
AUUGAACGCUGGCGGCAUGCCUUACACAUGCAAGUCGAACGGCAGCACGGGGGCAACCCCUGGUGGCGAGUGGCGAACGGGUGAGUAACAUAUCGGAACAUACCCUAGAGUGGGGGAUAACGUAGCGAAAGUUACGCUAAUACCGCAUACGAUCUAAGGAUGAAAGUGGGGGAUCUUCGGACCUCAUGCUCAUGGAGUGGCCGAUAUCUGAUUAGCUAGUUGGGUGAGGUAAAGGCUCACCAAGGCGACGAUCAGUAGCUGGUUUGAGAGAACGACCAGCCACACUGGAACUGAGACUUUACGGCCAGACUCCUACGGAGGCAGC